GUGCUUUUUGUUCUUAAACAAGCCAUGGUUCUUCCCGUGAUUUUCUUAUUCUCCAGUGGAUUUAGGGUUUCAAUUUAUUGUGGGUCCGAAUAUUUUCAAUUAUUCUUUCCUCCAAUUACUUAACUUUUUUAAUCGAGAAGUCUGAAGAAGGGGAGUUACAAAUGAUGGGUUGGUUGAUUAAAAAAAGGAGGAAAUUUGGUUUCGUUAUUUGACUGUGGUGAUAAAUGGCGUAAAUUGAUUGAUGGUUGAUUUGAGUUCUGUGAUGAAUUAGGAUUAAAUAUGGGUUUAUGUCAAUUUGAUUGUUGUGCAGGGAAGGAGUUGUAAUGCCUCAAAAAUCAGAACCAACAGAGUACACAUGCGGUGUUUGCUAAAAUGGCUAAAUGAAUUGAUUAGUUUUUAUGCUACUCUACUGUUGUUGCCGAUUGAGUGAGGGGUUUAAUGGGUUCUGGUGGUGUUAAAUUUUGGCAGAGAGUAUGCUCCAGAUUGCAUCCGAGAGUUCUGCGAGGAGUAUGAGUUCAGAUGAGUGGGUAUCUGUGGUGUUUAUGUAGCUGAUUGGUGUUGGUGGUUACUGUCAGUAAGGUAGGCGGCCAAAAUAUAUUUGUGAUCUGUGUUAUUGUGUCUUACUACCUGAUGCUCUUUUAAAUGUAAGAGAAAAUGGUGCAGAAUUCCCGAGAUAGGAAGACUUUCCGGAAGUAAAAGCAGAAUUUUAGAUGAUUGAGUAAGUACGAGGAAGAAGAAAUAUAAGAGUACCUACAUUUUCAGGAGCAGAUGUUAAUAAAUAAAAAUAUUUGGGAAGCACAUCGGCCUACACCACCUAAUGGUUUUGUCAAAGUUAACUUACAUCUAGGUAUUGCCUCAUUUCUUCAUGACCAGACAAGGAAUAGGUACGAGGUUAAAGGAGAAAGAUUCGGGUCAGCUAGCACCAGAGGUCGAAUACACAGCUCUAAAAAGGGUAUACAAUAGAUAACAGUACUUGAAAUUCCUGACAUCCACAUGUACAAGUUUUACUACAGGCAUUCAAUGAGAAGAAAUGGAGAAGUUUAAUAGUGAAAGGCAUCCUUUUUAGCAUAUGCCUAAAUACAGGAAAAGGAAGCCCUAAUUACCCACUUCCAGAUCUCUAGCUUGAUGAAUGAAGAUGUACCAAGUGACACAAAUCCACUCGAGUUCAAGCUGCUGGUGGCUUGGGUACGUCAACAUUUAUAUCUUCUUUCACAUUAGAAGAUUAAUAUCAUUUUUAUUGGCCGACUGUUAAGGAGGCCUUCUAUGUGAUGAGGAUAUGUAGUGUUUGUCGGUCGCAACAAAUGUACAGAAAAAAUGAAAUUGUUUUUUUUGAAGGAAAAUUUCUUGUUUGGUCCU